CAGUCGCCACGGUAAUACGUAAGGGGCGAGCGUUGUUCGGAAUUAUUGGGCGUAAAGGGCAUGUAGGCGGUUGGGUAAGCCUGGCGUGAAAUCUACGAGCUUAACUCGUAAACUGCGUUGGGUACUGCCCAUCUUGAAUCAUAGAGGGGAAACUGGAAUUCCAAGUGUAGGGGUGGAAUCUGUAGAUAUUUGGAAGAACACCGGUGGCGAAGGCGGGUUUCUAGCUAAUGAUUGACGCUAAGGUGCGAAGGUGCGGGGAGCAAACAGGAUUAGAUACCCGGGUAGUCCCUGUCUCUUAUAC
rnacentral:rRNA from 1 species